UCCAGGGGUACUCGUAGGAUGCUAUGAGCAUCGUUGGCCUGCUAUAGCCUCAGUGGCGUCACCAGCGGACAUUCCGUGUAUUGGAUGCGUUUUAUUAAAACACAUCCGAUACCACGGAAUGCCCAGCCCAGCUGGUGCAAUUUCGCAACCAAAAACAGUAGUUACAGCCGAUAUAUUACUCAUAGACUACAGUUUGAUUUAAACAGCAAAGAUAGUGACAUUUUAGAAGUCGACAACAACAUAAUUUAUUGCAGCAAUUUAAAAUUCCAAAAAUACAUGCGUAGCCGAAAUGUACAGAUCAAACGCCACGUCACAAGGCAUAUAAUAAAAUCAAAUGAUUCCAUUGUUCUUGUGUUGGAGGUCACUUUCGAGCUGCACUUGCUGUCUCCCUCUGAUUUUAAUUCAACCAUCGUGGUUAAAAUGUCCUCAUAUUGAUCAAUGACAGAAGACAUAGGCUACUGUAGACAUCCAUCAUGCUGAGACCAGAGUUGUUGCGAUUGUUUGCAUUAAGCACUGUAGGCGCUUCGGUGAGGCUGUGAUGAAGUUCACUAUUUAUUGGACCCUGUCUAGCCAGUUACUCACACAUCCCUGACCAUAGUUUAGUUUGUAGUCUACACUCAGACGUGAACUCAUUAUUGCAUGCGGGUGUCUUCAUUCAUAAACAAAUUAAAACAUUCGGGAGUAUGCAAUAAUACAAAUUAUUCUAAAGAAGUCAGAGACUCCAUGCGCAGCCCCGCCUUCCCCAGUGAACCAAGAGCCUGCGCCGUGAAAAACGGGAGAUUUGACCCUCUCGGUUUUACACAGGAAACUUGAGAUAAGAAGGUGAAAUCGCAAGCUGCGACCGAACUGGCUUGGCAGUGUAAAAAGACCUAUAGCCUACUUCAUCCUGCCCAACAAUAUGGGCAGUAUCUAGAAAAAAAAUAAUCUGAAAUAAUGUAUGCACAGUGCGUUCUGGAUUAGGACUGAUAUAUGUCGACCUAGGCCUAAUCAAUUGUGUUUUAAUAUCUUAUUGCACUCUAUUCUUUUCGUAGGCACCUCUGCUGUUAACCUUGUUGGGGAGAUAUUCUAACCCCUUUUAACCCCAUUUUCCUGCGACAUUCCGUCUCCCCCUCCUACAUAGCCCGUUUCAGUGAACAGUUACAAUCCUACGAACGUUGUGAGUGCAGUGAACGCGCGUUCAUGGUAAGAGGAGUUUUAGGAAACGCUUCAAAGAAAUUCACAAUGGUUUGCAAGAUCCAUCGUGAGAAUGAUCAUACGAGCGAAGAUACAUCGUAAUCGGGAAACGAGGCCCAGGUUGAUUUUGUUCAGGCAGUUUCAGUUUCUGCUUAAGAUGAAGGAGCUGAUGCAGCAGACGGAUUGAAACUACAUUUUACCGGACCAGUGACCUUAUUUGAAUUCCCUACACCAUGUUUUAGCCCUGCUAUUGUUUCUUCGUACACCUUUAGCUGGGGAGGCUCUUUAACGGAAGGACUAAAUCAACGAGUGCCUAAUCUUGAUGAGCUCUGACUCUAUACUCAGGAAACGUGAACUAUAGCCAAACCUUACCCAAAUGGGUCCCUUGCCCUUUACCCUCUAAAGGUUCCUCCUCUUCCCCACUGAGGCCCCUGUACUCAAUGCCUUAAUGUUUCAAGAUUAUUGUGGCGAGAAGGAUGAGACGGGAGCCCAAGUUUAGCAGUUUGCUGCAGUUCCGCGCCCCAUACGCGGCACGACUACAGACU
ensembl:lncRNA